UUUUACGGAGAGUUUGAUCCUGGCUCAGGAUGAACGCUGGCGGCGUGCUUAACACAUGCAAGUCGAACGGUGAAGCAGAGCUUGCUCUGUGGAUCAGUGGCGAACGGGUGAGUAACACGUGAGCAACCUGCCCCUGACUCUGGGAUAAGCGCUGGAAACGGCGUCUAAUACCGGAUAUGAGCUGCGAUCGCAUGGUCAGCAGUUGGAAAGAUUUUUCGGUCUGGGAUGGGCUCACGGCCUAUCAGCUUGUUGGUGAGGUAAUGGCUCACCAAGGCGUCGACGGGUAGCCGGCCUGAGAGGGUGACCGGCCACACUGGGACUGAGACACGGCCCAGACUCCUACGGGAGGCAGCAGUGGGGAAUAUUGCACAAUGGGCGAAAGCCUGAUGCAGCAACGCCGCGUGAGGGAUGACGGCCUUCGGGUUGUAAACCUCUUUUAGCAGGGAAGAAGCGAAAGUGACGGUACCUGCAGAAAAAGCGCCGGCUAACUACGUGCCAGCAGCCGCGGUAAUACGUAGGGCGCAAGCGUUAUCCGGAAUUAUUGGGCGUAAAGAGCUCGUAGGCGGUUUGUCGCGUCUGCUGUGAAAUCCCGAGGCUCAACCUCGGGUCUGCAGUGGGUACGGGCAGACUAGAGUGCGGUAGGGGAGAUUGGAAUUCCUGGUGUAGCGGUGGAAUGCGCAGAUAUCAGGAGGAACACCGAUGGCGAAGGCAGAUCUCUGGGCCGUUACUGACGCUGAGGAGCGAAAGGGUGGGGAGCAAACAGGCUUAGAUACCCUGGUAGUCCACCCCGUAAACGUUGGGAACUAGUUGUGGGGUCCAUUCCACGGAUUCCGUGACGCAGCUAACGCAUUAAGUUCCCCGCCUGGGGAGUACGGCCGCAAGGCUAAAACUCAAAGGAAUUGACGGGGACCCGCACAAGCGGCGGAGCAUGCGGAUUAAUUCGAUGCAACGCGAAGAACCUUACCAAGGCUUGACAUAUACGAGAACGGGCCAGAAAUGGUCAACUCUUUGGACACUCGUAAACAGGUGGUGCAUGGUUGUCGUCAGCUCGUGUCGUGAGAUGUUGGGUUAAGUCCCGCAACGAGCGCAACCCUCGUUCUAUGUUGCCAGCACGUAAUGGUGGGAACUCAUGGGAUACUGCCGGGGUCAACUCGGAGGAAGGUGGGGAUGACGUCAAAUCAUCAUGCCCCUUAUGUCUUGGGCUUCACGCAUGCUACAAUGGCCGGUACAAAGGGCUGCAAUACCGCGAGGUGGAGCGAAUCCCAAAAAGCCGGUCCCAGUUCGGAUUGAGGUCUGCAACUCGACCUCAUGAAGUCGGAGUCGCUAGUAAUCGCAGAUCAGCAACGCUGCGGUGAAUACGUUCCCGGGUCUUGUACACACCGCCCGUCAAGUCAUGAAAGUCGGUAACACCUGAAGCCGGUGGCCCAACCCUUGUGGAGGGAGCCGUCGAAGGUGGGAUCGGUAAUUAGGACUAAGUCGUAACAAGGUAGCCGUACCGGAAGGUGCGGCUGGAUCACCUCCUUUCUA
rnacentral:rRNA from 1 species